UCUUCUCAAAGAUUAAUUAACUAUUUACUGAUUGUCUCUUUGUCUUUUUUUUUUUAUAUAAUCCGAGUUUUUCUUCUCUUUUUUUGUUUGUUUAAAUUUUUGCAUGCUGAAAUUCUCUGAAAAUCUUUAUAGCUAUAUGCAAGUGAAUCUCAGAUUAUAUAUGCAGCUGUUUUUCUCCUUCUAUCUUCUUUCUUUUCAAAUUUUUAGAAACCAGAUGUGGUUUUCAGAUUUCACCAGAAGCCAUAAAUGAUGGAAUUUUGUGAAUGGUGAUCUCUUUUUCAGUUUAUAAUCAUUUACACACUGGUUCUGUACCGUUUUAAUUAAUGGAAGUAUGAAUUUUUCUAAUGAGUCAGUUGGUAAUGAAACACUGAAUCUAGCUGUUAGUUCUUAAAAGUCUUUCAUCUCUAAUUUCCUUUUUGGUGUUAGGUUUGUACGGAUUAAUGCUAGUUUUUGCAUUGAAGUUUUAUCUUGGAAUGUGACCCGAAAGUAGGUGGAGGAGAUUCGCUUAAAUUGAUUUCUUUGCAAGUUGUGAUCCAAAAUAAAAAGAUUGAUGAACCCUAUACCUAAUACUUUUUAAUAUAUACUAUCAUUUUUUCCUUGCAAAUUUAUUUAUUUCUGCGUCUAAUUUUGCUAGGAAAUAGAUUUUGUUCUUGGUUUUUGAGUUCUUCCCAGUCGAAAUAUUAGUUUAUACUAAAACAGUUUAUCUUAUAUGGUACCAAAGAAGGUUGAAAAUGCUAUUUUGUACUGAAAUUGGUUAUCUUCUGCUGCUGAAGAAGUAAACUGUUAUUUUUUAUUGCAAUGGUUGGUUUAAUGAAAGUUUCAGAGUACACUGUAUUUGAUCUUAUGUUUUUCGUGUUGGUUUGAUCUUUCGUUGUGCUGGCCAAGCUUAACUAUUAAUCUUUUUUUUUUUUUCUAAAUUAAAACUUAGGGCUUUCUAAUUGGACGCCUAAUUUUGCAGUGAUUUUGUGGAGUUUUCUUUGACCAAAAGCAUGAGUUGGUGUUUUUUUUUAUCUCCGGAAUAUUGGCUUUAUAGGGCAUUUUACUAAACUUGUGUCAAACAUUCUAUUAAGAAAAUGUCUUUGUGUUGUGUUUGAUGAAAUCAAAUUGUGAAAUAUGUGUAAUGGUACUUGUGUCUAAUGUGCUUCACCUUGAAAUCCAUAAUAGAAGUCGUGGAAUAUAUAACACUGGAGCCGGAUUUAAUGUUAGAAAUAGAAUUUUAUUUUCUGAAAUGAUUGAUCUUAGGUUGCCUGAUUUAUUUCUCAGCUGAUAUUACUGUUUGCUGGUUGGAUCAUUAGUUUUGCUUCAAGCUAAUAUUUUUAAAUUUUGUCUAUUGGAUGCCUAGUUUUGCAAUGGUUAUGCUGAGAUACAAAAUGCACUCUUGGAUGGUUUAAGAACCAGUGGUGUUUUUGUUAAUUUCCAUGAAUGAGUAACUGGGUUUUUAAUCAUAUUCACCAUAUAUAUUGAAAAUACCUUGUUUUGUGUGAGAUGAAAUCAAAUUGUAAAUCUGGUGUUGUGCUUGAUGAAAUCAAAUUGUAAACUUGGUUAGUUACAUGUUCUAGUGUCUUAAGUGCUUCACCUUGAAUCUAAUACAUGAAGUCUCUAAACAGAUAACAAGCGGAGAGGCCUAGAUUUUCCGUGUAUGUCAUCACUGUCUUAAGUAUUAUAUCCAGCUUCUUUUCCUUAGCAUGGUAAUCAUGCAUAUACUCUAUAUAAGGCAGCCGUUAGAAAUUCCAUGUACUUAUUGUUGGUUUAGAUGAUUGUGAUGGUUUAGGUUAUUAUGAUGACUGUUGUUUCUGCUUAUCUUCAUCCUCUUAAAUUCAGAUAUUUGUUCUUGAAGUAGUUCAAUCAGUGAGUUCAAAUGAAAGAUGAUUGUAUUUAUGCUGUGAAAUAUUUCAAACUAUAUUUUGUUGGAGUAUCAUAUUUUCAUAACGAAGGAUUGAUGUAGAGGCAGAUUCUACCAGAUCUCUGAAGUUACGUGUGAUGCGCCAUGUGAUAUUCUGAUGUGUUAGGCUAUCUUUGUUAUCUUCCUUUUGUUGCAUCUCCAAUUAGGCAAUUAAGCUAUACUGAUUGUUAGGUAGGUAAACUAAAACAAAAGAAAAGUUAUUGAGCUAAGGGCAUUUAAGCGUUUAAGCAACUCUAAUGAUGAUAUCAUUGUGAGAAAAGUGCUGAUUAAUUUGUUUUUAAUCCUUGCUGUGCAAGUCAGUUUAUUGUAGUUGAACAGGAUCCUGUUUUGUGGGUUUAGGCACUGUCAUCACCACCAAAAGACCUAUGCCAGAAGACAGCCCGUUAAAGCAAUAAUGACAACCUGAUUUUGUGUUUGCUAAAUUGCUUGCUUUUACAGGAGAAUGAGAUCAAUAUCAAGUGGGAAGAUACUUCAAGUAUAAAAAUUUCAACGUUGAAAGUGUAGCAAUCAGAGACGCGUUUCUCAGUCAUGGUGGAUUCAAUGGGGUUUCUUGACUUGAAACUAAAGAUUGGCAAGAGCACUUGUUGGUUACUCUAUUCUGAGGCAUUAGUCGAUUUCUCUCUGCUUUUUGUAGUCAAGAACUUGGUUCAUGUGGAUGGUGUCAGUUUGAAGGUCUUAGCGUAAAGAUGAUACGACAAAAUCUGUCAUGAGAGUGCUUCAGUGAUCCAAUCCUCAGAGACUCAGAAACAGCAGAAGAGGGGAAUCAUAACAUAAGAAGCAAGGUGGUGUUUGGAAAAGGUGUUCUCGAUAUAAUCAAGUACACUAUAUAACAAACAUUCUAGAUGGGUAUAAUAUUUUGUCCUUGGUUUAAAUUUAGGGUUCAUGAAAGUGAUUAAUUAGUAGACAUGAUUUUGUUUUGAACUAAUGCUCUGAAAGUAGUUAGUCAUCCACUAGCUGGACACAAAAUAGUUGGUGUGUUCUCAUCAUGUACGAUUUUUUUUUUGCCUUACAUUUUCCGAGUUUAGUUCCUCUUAUAGAAUAUGGAUUUGUGGAUUGCUGUUACAGAUAAAUCUUCAAAACGA